GACGAACGCUGGCGGCGUGCUUAACACAUGCAAGUCGAACGAAGUGGCACACGGGUGAGUAACGCGUAAUCAACCUACCCUUCAGAGGGGUACAACAGUUGGAAACGACCGCAAAUACCGCAUACUGAAGGAGGGGAUUGUGUCUGAGUUGCUAGUUGGAGGGGUAACGGCCUACCAAGGCGAUGAGCAGUAGCCGGUCUGAGAGGAUGAACGGCGACAUGUGGACUGAGACACGGCCCAGACUCCUACGGGAGGCAGCAGUGGGGACUCUUCCGCAAUGGACGAAAGUCUGACGGAGCAACGCCGCGGGAGUGAUGACGGCCUUCGGGUUGUAAAGCUCUGUUAAUCGGGACGCGGUACCGGAAUAGAAAGCCACGGCUAACUACGUGCCAGCAGCCGCGGUAAUUC
rnacentral:rRNA from 1 species